rnacentral:rRNA from 1 species
AGCGAACGCUGGCGGCAGGCUUAACACAUGCAAGUCGAGCGGGCACCUUCGGGUGUCAGCGGCAGACGGGUGAGGAACACGUGGGAACGUACCUUUUGGUUCGGGACAACUGAGGGAAACUUCAGCUAAUACCGGAUAAGCCCUUCGGGGGAAAGAUUUAUUGCCAAAAGAUCGGCCCGCGUCUGAUUAGCUAGUUGGUGAGGUAACGGCUCACCAAGGCGACGAUCAGUAGCUGGUCUGAGAGGAUGAUCAGCCACACUGGGACUGAGACACGGCCCAGACUCCUACGGGAGGCAGCAGUGGGGAAUAUUGGACAAUGGGCGCAAGCCUGAUCCAGCCAUGCCGCGUGAGUGAUGAAGGCCUUAGGGUUGUAAAGCUCUUUCGACGGGGACGAUAAUGACGGUACCCGUAGAAGAAGCCCCGGCUAACUUCGUGCCAGCCGCCGCCGGGUAACAC